UUCACGGAGAGUUUGAUUCUGGCUCAGGACGAACGCUGGCGGCGUGCUUAACACAUGCAAGUCGAGCGACGCUCCUCCUUCGGGAGGAUGACGGAGCGGCGAACGGGUGAGUAACACGUGGGCAACCUGCCCCUAGCUCUGGGAUAAGCCCGGGAAACCGGGUCUAAUACCGGAUAUGAAGUCGGACGGCAUCUUCUGACUUGGAAAGUUUUUCGGCUAGGGAUGGGCCCGCGGCCUAUCAGCUUGUUGGUGAGGUAACGGCCCACCAAGGCGACGACGGGUAGCCGGCCUGAGAGGGCGACCGGCCACACUGGGACUGAGACACGGCCCAGACUCCUACGGGAGGCAGCAGUGGGGAAUAUUGCACAAUGGGCGAAAGCCU
rnacentral:rRNA from 1 species